rnacentral:pre_miRNA from 1 species
CAGCCUCCCGCGACCAUGCUGCGCCCCGUAUUCGUGCGGAAGGCAAUUCGAAUAUACGGCGCUGCACGGUUGGAGGGCGGUUG